UACCUCUCGGUAAGGUAACCGAAUUCGAAUACCUACAGUCAUCUUCUUCGUCCGAGCUUUCUCUCUAUGCCCGGGAUUCCACUAUAAUCGCUUCCGUUGAAGAAAAUCCUCGAGUCUCUUCUCUCUUAAACUCCUCUGGCGUUGCUAAUCCUACGUUGCACGUGUAUAGAAACUUGACCCUUUUGUGUCCCUCUGUUCGCCUGCGGAGAUCCCUCUUGUCUUCUAUGCCUCUUUGGGAUCAUCAUCCGUCAACUCCACGACGCAACAUUCUCUCUCUUUUAUUCCUGGAGGUCCUGUUGUAGAUGCUCGGUUGGUGAGCAAUGGCGCUUUUCGUUAGCUUUCUUGUGAUCUGCCUCACUUUGGGUUGUUUAUGGGAACCCGGGUCUUGCCAAGUAAACGACUUUCGGCGAGCGUUUCCUGUUGUGGAGCCAGAUUUUGGUCAUACAAAGCUUCGUCUUGCAAGAGAAGGUUUGGAUGCAAUUCGAAGAAUUAGUUCUCCUAUUGCAGCCGUUGCUGUCAUUGGUCCAUACCGCUCUGGCAAAUCAUUUCUUCUUAAUCAACUUCUUUCUCUUCCAUGUGAUAAAGGUUUUGGCGUUGGACAUAUGCGAGACACAAAAACAAAAGGUAUUUGGGUUUGGGGUGAUCCACUGGAUGUGGUUGUUGAUGGUGUAAAAAUUUCUGUCCUGUACCUUGACACUGAAGGAUUUGAAAGUAUUGGGAAGUCAAAUGUGUACGAUGACAGGAUCUUUGCCCUAGCAACUAUCAUGAGUUCUGUGCUUAUAUACAAUCUGCCUGAGACGAUUCGUGAGGCUGAUAUAUCCCGUCUGUCUUUCGCUGUUGAAAUUGCUGAAGAAUUUUAUGGCAGAGUAAAGGGGCAAGAUGUUGCUUUUGAGCCUGCUAAACUCUUGUGGCUUAUUCAACGUGAUUUCUUGCAAGGCAAAUCUGUUCAUCAAAUGGUAAAUGAAGCCCUCCAGCGAGUCCCCAAUGUGAAUGGAGACAGAUAUAUUGAUCAGGUAAACCAGAUUAGGGACUCUUUAGCCAUCAUGGGUGAUAAUAGCACAGCCUUUAGCUUACCUCAGCCUCAUCUGCAAAGGACGAAACUUUGUGAUAUGAAGGAUAGUGAGCUUGAACAGUCAUAUGUAGAACAAAGGGAGCAUUUGAAACAACUCGUUGCAUCAAUUAUACGUCCAAAGAUUGUCCAAGGAAAAACCCUCAAUGGGGAGGAGUUUGCAUCUUUUCUAGAGCAGAUUCUUGAGGCAUUAAACAAAGGGGAAAUUCCAUCAACUGGUUCUCUUGUUGAGGUUUUCAAUAAGGCGAUCCUUGAUCGGUGUUUGAAGCUUUACAAUAAAAAAAUGGAUAUGUUGCAUCUGCCAUUAACCGAGGAGAGGUUGAAGCAGGCUAAUGAUGAAUCGAAAGUUGAGGCAAGAAAGCUCUUUGAUGAACAACAUUUUGGUCGACAUCAUGCUGAACAAUCUGCCUUCAAGCUUGAAGAAGAAAUGCUGAAGGUUUAUAGAAGUUUUCUUCUGGCCAAUGAAUAUCAGUCUUCAAAAUUGUGUGAGUCAUUGUAUACAAAAUGUGAGGAUAAAAUGGACCAUCUUCAAGCACUGAGACUUCCAUCCAUGGCUAAAUUUAAUGCUGGCUUUCUUCAAUGUAACCAAAGUUUUGAAAAGGAGUGUGUUGGGCCUUCAAAAAAGAGUUAUGAGCAGAGAAUUUCAAAGAUGCUUGCAAAAUCUCGUGCACUUUUCAUCAAGGAUUACAACAACAGACUCUUCAAUUGGUUGGUAACUUUCUCCCUCGUAAUGGUCGUGGUGGGUCGAUUUGUCAUAAAAUUUUUUUUACUUGAGAUUGGUGCAUGGGUGAUGUUCAUCUUCCUGGAGACGUAUACAAGAAUGUUCUGGACAUCAGAGUCACUCUAUUAUAAUCCGGCUUGGCAUUUUAUUGUAGCCACUUGGGAAUCUAUUGUUUAUAGCCCAAUACUCGACCUCGAUAAAUGGGCGAUCCCAUUGGGAUUACUGGUGCUGAUAUUUGUCCUGUACUGGCGGUGUUUUGGUAGAAGGAAACUUGGUGGUAGAUACCUUUUGCCUCUCUACAACCCUCAAAAGAGGGGCUCGAGUCGUCCAAGGUCAGACUAACAGAGCCAGCGAGUUGAGACUCCAUUUCCGUCUUCUCAGUGUGUUCGCUGGGUUUCUACUCUUUUUCACAAAACAAAAGAUAUAGAAAAUAGUGGGAGCUGGCUUUCUGUAGACCGGUGAUUGUUGUUUGGCAUUUUUAUAUUAAAAAAAAAAUGCUCCUUGCAGCCAGAAUUAUUAAAUAUUCACCAAAAUUUAAAUUGGCAUUUAUAAUUUUAGAAUUACAUCAUUUAAUCCUGGCAAAUAAACUCGCCAAUUGUAGUUAGGGGUGUAAACGA